rnacentral:rRNA from 1 species
CCUACGGGCGGCAGCAGUGAGGAAUAUUGGUCAAUGGACGAGAGUCUGAACCAGCCAAGUAGCGUGAAGGAUGACUGCCCUAUGGGUUGUAAACUUCUUUUAUAUGGGAAUAAAAUGUUCCACGUGUGGGAUUUUGUAUGUACCAUAUGAAUAAGGAUCGGCUAACUCCGUGCCAGCAGCCGCGGUAAUACGGAGGAUCCGAGCGUUAUCCGGAUUUAUUGGGUUUAAAGGGAGCGUAGGUGGAUUGUUAAGUCAGUUGUGAAAGUUUGCGGCUCAACCGUAAAAUUGCAGUUGAAACUGGGGGGCUUGAGUACAGUAGAGGUGGGCGGAAUUCGUGGUGUAGCGGUGAAAUGCUUAGAUAGCACGAAGAAGGCCGAUUGCGAAGGCAGUUCACUGGACUGCAACUGACACUGAGGCUCGAAAGUGUGGGUAGCAAACAGGAUUAGAUACCCUUGUAGUG